CUAGCAGCGGAGUUCACAUGAAGCUCCGGAGAGGCGGGGCGAAACUAGGGUGAAGGGGUUAGGCAGUGGACGGGCUAGACCCGCCACCUCCCCCGAAGAGAGAGCGCUGGGUGCGGGGGACGCUCUGAAGGAUUGAACUCAGGUCCUUGUGCUUACACAGCAGGCGGCGAAACCACUGAGCUAAAUCCCCGGCCAUUGAGCUGCAUUUUAAAAAAAAGAAGAAGAAGAAGUGCAUCACUGUUACAAGGGACAAGGAUGUCAUUUUAGUCAUCACACUAUUUAAAUUUGUGGUCCCUCCAACCAACCCAAAAGAGAAAACUGAGACCCGGACAUGGUGGUGCACACUUGUAAUUCCAGCACUCAGGAGGCUAAGGCAGGAGGAUCGCUGUAAGUUCAAGGCCAGCCUGGGCUACAUAGUGAGUUCAAGGAAAGCCUGAACUACAAAGGGAGAUCCUGCCUCAAAAAACCAACCAACCAACCAAACAAACAAAAAACCCUGAGAGGAACCAGUGUGUCUCCGUAUCAGACAAACCUGGGACUGGAAUCCCAGUUCUGCCUCUGCCAAUCCCUCCACACCCUCUGAGGAUGGUUUGCAGAUGAAGGAAAGUGGGUUUAGAGAGGCCAAGCGACUUGCCCAGGAAUGCGCUGCUGGUGAUGGCUCGUCUCCCGAUGUGACAGCACUUGGGCCUUCUCAUUGAGCCCCCUGCUUAGUCCUCAAGUGAUGAGGAUUCCUAGAUGAAACCACUUCUCUCCAGCCUCUGGAUGUUGUCUCCUGGUCCCCAAAACGGGAAGAGAGAGAGGACACAAGAACUAAAGGAUUGGAGUCUGCGCUCUGGAAGGAAGGAGGGGCUGAGCCAACACACGUCAGACACUCACUUCCUUCAAGCCCUGAGCUAUUGCAUCACUGUAUUUUACCUGCACCAACAAGCAUGCUUUACUAUUCAUUUCCAUUUGUGUGUGUGUGUGUGUGUGUGUGUGUGUGUGUGUGUGUGUGUGUUACCAGAGACUAGAGACUAGAACCCCAGGGUGCCUUACCUCUGAGCUGCAUCUUCAGGCCUUUUUUAUUUUUAGACAGUGUCUCAAUUAGUUGCCCAGUUGGGACUCAAACUGGUGAUCCUUCAGCCUCAACCUCCCUAAAUGCUGGGUUUGUAGGUGUGUGUCACCCUGCCUGGCUAAACCCUGCUUUAAAGAGGGGAAAAUCAAGGCAAAGAGGUUAAAUGGUUUGGCCAACGCCCACAGACAAGUGACCAAAGCUGGACUGUAAAGCUGGAGAGAUCAAACCAGGACCGCUCAUACUUCAAGAAAAACAUUAAGCAAUAGAACUAGGACAGCCUCACCCCAAGUCUGCAUGUAACCAUUACUCCAUCUUGCUUCCUUUGUCCUGGCUGUUUGCUUAUAACUACACAAAUCACACACCCUCUGAUUAGUUAAUGCUCGAGAUAGCUCUGUCUGACACUUGAGAAAAUGUCAGAGGGGUCAAGCGUCACAGGUCUGACUGACAGCAUGUCCGGCUCCACAUCCACCCACUGCUGCCUUCACAGAUGAGCUGGGGAGGAGUGGAGACAGGAGGGGACCAGCCAGGUAGUUGCAGGGGCUCAGGAUGAGGGCCCACAUGGCCCUCCUGUUCAUCACUCAGUCUUUCUCCUCAGUACCAGCCCUUUGCCUGACAUUUGCAGCCACCUUCUCUGGGGGUGGCUCAUGGAGGUUUCCCUGUGCUGCUGUUGAGUCAUUUCUCUUUUGAGUUCCCCAGAGUUCAUGGGAACUCUCCACCCAGAAAUGGAAGCUACUCAGAAGACCUCAGUUCAAAGUGGAGGAACUUCCUAGCAGCAUGGGGACUGCCUAGUGAUGUGGUGGAUUUUCCAGCACUGGCCAUAUUCAAGUAGAAACUGAAUAGCCGUCUAAGGGGGAUUUCUAUAGUGGGCAGAGGCUGGGCCUAGGCUGUUAAAGCCCUUCUGACUGUGAGAUUGUAUGAGUUAUCAUGAGAUGAAAUUUCACCCAUCCAUGAGGGUCAAGUGGUAGCACAUAUACGAGCUUUCAUGUCAGAUAGACCUGGAUUCAAACCUGGCUCAGAAAUCUGGUGGUGCAUGCCUAUAGUCUCAGCUAUUUGGGAGGCUGAGGCAGGAAAGUCACUUGAUCCCAUAAGCUAGAGACCAGCCUUGACAACAUAACAAGACCCCAUCUCAUAAAAGCAAAAAAUGGCUUAGCUAUCUCGUUUGGGGACUGUGGGCAUAUUUCCUCCCUUAGCCUCAGUUUCCUUGUUGUAAAAUGGAAAUUAUAAUACCUUUGAGCGUUAAGGGUGAUGCCUAUGUUCUGGUUGGUAUAAUAAGAACACAACAAAUUAUGCCUACUCCUCAGCAUUAAACAAACGGCUAAAUCACAGAUUGGCAGGUUUUUUGGUGGCCUUUGAUGACAGAGUUGAAUGAAAGAAUUAAAUUCAUGUGUUAAUCGAGGUACUAAACGUCUGGAUACUUAACAUGAAUAGGAAAACAGCUUUUUUCUGUGUCUAUCUCUGAAAUAAUCAUGAAAAAUGUGAUAUAUAGGGCUGGGGAUUUAGCUCAGUGGUUUUGUCGCCUGUUGCGCAAGCACAAGGACCUGAGUUCGAUCCCUGGUACCAAAAAAAAAAAAAAAAAGUGAUAUAUAAGUGGGUAAAAUUCAAGAAAUGUUCAAGGAUCAUGAUGCCUUUGCUAAGAAUUGAAAAUCUGAGUCUCUGACCCAAAGGGAACACAUCAGCACAGAUAAACAUUCCCCUGUGGGAACAGAAAUCAGCUCUAAGACAUUGAUGGAUUUCAUUAGUUCUCUGUGUGUGCAGCCUAGGUGAUGGGAAACUCACUACCUGCUGAGACUGUCAGUAGGAAACUUACCAUGUUUCCCAGCUUGUUUUUUUACUGUUUGCCAGCUGGGAAAUAGAAUUUUCUAAUAUUGUCAUCCAACUGAGACCAGACCCCAAUCAGACAGGCACUGUAUGAUCUGAGGAAUGUGUAAGCAGGUGGGCAUUCACAGCAGCAGAGGUGGGGCCAAAUGUCUGAUAGAGUGACUUUCAGAAUCACACAGAUCUUGGCAUGAGUUCUGUUCUGUGACUCAGCUGUGUCCUUGGGCAAGUCAAAAACUCUGAACAAGGACCAGGGAUUUAGCUCAGUGGUUCCAGUGCCUGCCUUGCAAGCGCAAUGGUCCUGAGUUUGAUCCCCGGUACCAAAACCCCCCACAAAAACCAAAACAACCCUGAAAAGUUUUCUUGUGUGUGAAAUGGGAUUGAUUGUACCUUGCUCACAUGAUGAUUCAGUGAAAUUAAACAUUAAAGUGCUUGGUGCUGGGCACUUCACAUAGGGAA
ensembl:lncRNA